GCUGAGACACUUUGGUGUAGUGGUAAGAGUGUUGGACUAGGACCUGCGAGACCAGGGUUCAAAUCCCUGCUCAGCA